UACGUAGGGCGGCAAGCGUUGUCCGGAAUUAUUGGGCGUAAAGAGCUGCGUAGGCGGUUUGUCGGCGGUUCUGCUGUGAAACCUAAAGGCUCAACCUUGGGCUUGCAGUGGGUACGGGCAGACUAGAGUGCGGUAGGGGUGACUGGAAUUCCUGGUGUAGCGGUGAAAUGCGCAGAUAUCAGGAGGAACACCGGUGGCGAAGGCGGGUCUCUGGGCCGAGUGACUGACGCUGGAGGAGCGAAAGCGUGGGAGCGAACAGG
rnacentral:rRNA from 1 species